rnacentral:tRNA from 1 species
GGAUUGUGGCUCAGCGGUAGAGUGCUCACCUGGCAUGCAUGAGGCACUGGGUUCGAUCCUCAGCACCA